rnacentral:rRNA from 1 species
GACGAACGCUGGCGGCGUGCUUAACACAUGCAAGUCGAACGGAAAGGCCCUGCUUUUGUGGGGUGCUCGAGUGGCGAACGGGUGAGUAACACGUGAGUAACCUGCCCUUGACUUUGGGAUAACGUCAGGAAACUGGGGCUAAUACCGGAUAGGAGCUCCUGCUGCAUGGUGGGGGUUGGAAAGUUUCGGCGGUUGGGGAUGGACUCGCGGCUUAUCAGCUUGUUGGUGGGGUAGUGGCUUACCAAGGCUUUGACGGGUAGCCGGCCUGAGAGGGUGACCGGCCACAUUGGGACUGAGAUACGGCCCCGACUCCUACGGGAGGCAGCAGUGGGGAAUAUUGCACAAUGGGCGGAAGCCUGAUGCAGCAACGCCGCGUGCGGGAUGACGGCCUUCGGGUUGUAAACCGCUUUCGCCUGUGACGAAGCGUGAGUGACGGUAAUGGGUAAAGAAGCACCGGCUAACUACGUG